rnacentral:rRNA from 1 species
GCAUCGAUGAAGAACGCAGCGAAAUGCGAUACUUGGUGUGAAUUGCAGAAUCCCGUGAACCAUCGAGUCUUUGAACGCAAGUUGCGCCCGAUGCCAUUAGGUUGAGGGCACGUCUGCCUGGGCGUCACAUAU